AUGAACGCUGGCGGCAUGCCUAACACAUGCAAGUCGAACGAGACCUUCGGGUCUAGUGGCGCACGGGUGCGUAACGCGUGGGAAUCUGCCCUUGGGUUCGGAAUAACAGCUAGAAAUGGCUGCUAAUACCGGAUGAUGACGUAAGUCCAAAGAUUUAUCGCCCAAGGAUGAGCCCGCGUAGGAUUAGCUAGUUGGUGAGGUAAAAGCUCACCAAGGCGACGAUCCUUAGCUG
rnacentral:rRNA from 1 species